rnacentral:rRNA from 1 species
UACGGGGGGGGCAAGCGUUGUUCGGAAUUACUGGGCGUAAAGGGCGCGUAGGCGGCCUGCUAAGUCGGACGUGAAAUCCCUCGGCUCAACCGAGGAACUGCGUCCGAUACUGGUGGGCUUGAAUCCGGGAGAGGGAUGUGGAAUUCCAGGUGUAGCGGUGAAAUGCGUAGAUAUCUGGAGGAACACCGGUGGCGAAGGCGGCUCUCUGGGACGGUACUGACGCUGAGACGCGAAAGCGUGGGGAGCGAACAGG